UGCCCAGAGUGGCGUGUGGUUAACGCUUGGCCACAUUCCCUUCUUCGUCUUCUCUCUGUCUGAAUUACAGGUGUGGCACAGUCCUUAAACUGGAACAGAUCUCCCUCAGGAGAAGGCGGCACCCUGCCAAGACCACCAGCACCAGGAGCCGAGGGUGGAAGCAGCUGGG
rnacentral:lncRNA from 1 species